rnacentral:rRNA from 1 species
CACGUAGGAGGCGAGCGUUGUCCGGAAUCAUUGGGCGUAAAGAGCGCGCAGGCGGCCCGGCAAGUCGGGUGUGAAAUCCCGGGGCUCAACCCCGGGACUGCAUUCGAUACUGCCGGGCUAGAGGUAGGUAGGGGAGAUCGGAAUUCCUGGUGUAGCGGUGAAAUGACGCAGAUAUCAGGAGGAACACCGGUGGCGAAGGCGGAUCUCUGGCCCGAUACUGACGCUGAGGUGCGAAAGCGUGGGGAGCAAACAGG